UGCAGAGUGUGUGUUUGUAUAAGUGUGUGUGUAUAUAAUGCAGAGUGUGUGUUUGUAUAAGUGUGUGUGUAUAUAAUGCAGAGUGUGUGUUUGUAUGAGUGUGUGUGUAUAUAAUUAUAAAAAUCACAGAAUUUCAUAGCCCCAAGUUUUACCCUCGACUUAUCCACGAGGCAUAGCAUAUUUCACAAUUGUUGGUCACAAAACUGCACUCGACUUAUACAUGAGAUCGACUUAUACACGAGUAUAU